rnacentral:rRNA from 1 species
UGGGUCAGGAUGAACGCUGGCGGCGUGCUUAACACAUUUAAGUCGAACGAUGAUCCCAGCUUGCUGGGGGAUUAGUGGCGAACGGGUGAGUAACACGUGAGUAACCUGCCCUUGACUCUGGGAUAAGCCUGGGAAACUGGGUCUAAUACCGGAUAUGACCAUUCCACGCAUGUGGUGGUGGUGGAAAGCUUUUGUGGUUUUGGAUGGACUCGCGGCCUAUCAGCUUGUUGGUGGGGUAAUGGCCUACCAAGGCGACGACGGGUAGCCGGCCUGAGAGGGUGACCGGCCACACUGGGAGUGAGACACGGCCCAGACUCCUACGGGAGGCAGCAGUGGAAAAUAUUGCACAAUGGGCGCAAGCCUGAUGCAGCGACGCCGCGUGAGGGAUGACGGCCUUCGGGUUGUAAACCUCUUUCAGUAGGGAAGAAGCGAAAGUGACGGUACCUGCAGAAGAAGCGCCGGCUAACUACGUGCCAGCAGCCGCGGUAAUACGUAGGGCGCAAGCGUUAUCCGGAAUUAUUGGGCGUAAAGAGCUCGUAGGCGGUUUGUCGCGUCUGCUGUGAAAGACCGGGGCUCAACUCCGGUUCUGCAGUGGGUACGGGCAGACUAGAGUGCAAUAGGGGAGACUGAAAUUCCUGGUGUAGCGGGAAAAUGCGCAGAUAUCAGGAGGAACACCGAUGGCGAAGGCAGGUCUCUGGGCUGUAACUGACGCUGAGGAGCGAAAGCAUGGGAAGCGAACAGGAUUAGAUACCCUGGUAGUCCAUGCCGUAAACGUUGGGCACUAGGUGUGGGGGACAUUCCACGUUUUCCGCGCCGUAGCUAACGCAUUAAGUGCCCCGCCUGGGGAGUACGGCCGCAAGGCUAAAACUCAAAGGAAUUGACGGGGGCCCGCACAAGCGGCGGAGCAUGCGGAUUAAUUCGAUGCAACGCGAAGAACCUUACCAAGGCUUGACAUGAACCGGUAAUACCUGGAAACAGGUGCCCCGCUUGCGGUCGGUUUACAGGUGGUGCAUGGUUGUCGUCAGCUCGUGUCGUGUUUUGUUGGGUUAAGUCCCGCAACGAGCGCAACCCUCCUUCUAUGUUGCCAGCGGUUCGGCCGGGGACUCAUAGGAGACUGCCGGGGUCAACUCGGAGGAAGGUGGGGACGACGUCAAAUCAUCAUGCCCCUUAUGUCUUGGGCUUCACGCAUGCUACAAUGGCCGGUACAAAGGGUUGCGAUACUGUGAGGUGGAGCUAAUCCCAAAAAGCCGGUCUCAGUUCGGAUUGGGGUCUGCAACUCGACCCCAUGAAGUCGGAGUCGCUAGUAAUCGCAGAUCAGCAACGCUGCGGUGAAUACGAAACCGGGCCUUGUAC